rnacentral:rRNA from 1 species
UACGAAGGGUGCAAGCGUUAAUCGGAAUUACUGGGCGUAAAGCGCGCGUAGGUGGUUCAGUAAGUUGGAAGUGAAAUCCCCGGGCUCAACCUGGGAACUGCUUUCAAAACUGCUGAGCUAGAGUACGGUAGAGGGUGGUGGAAUUUCCUGUGUAGCGGUGAAAUGCGUAGAUAUAGGAAGGAACACCAGUGGCGAAGGCGACCACCUGGACUGAUACUGACACUGACGUGCGAAAGCGUGGGGAGCAAACAGG